UACGAAGGGGGCUAGCGUUGUUCGGAAUUACUGGGCGUAAAGCGCACGUAGGCGGAUUGCUAAGUCAGGGGUGAAAUCCUGGAGCUCAACUCCAGAACUGCCUUUGAUACUGAGAAGCUUGAGUCCGGGAGAGGUGAGUGGAACUGCGAGUGUAGAGGUGAAAUUCGUAGAUAUUCGCAAGAACACCAGUGGCGAAGGCGGCUCACUGGCCCGGUACUGACGCUGAGGUGCGAAAGCGUGGGGAGCAAACAGG
rnacentral:rRNA from 1 species